rnacentral:rRNA from 1 species
AGAGUUUGAUCUGGCUCAGGAUGAACGCUAGCGGCAGGCUUAACACAUGCAAGUCGAGGGGCAGCGCAGGUAGCAAUACUGGGCGGCGACCGGCAAACGGGUGCGGAACACGUACAGAACCUACCUUUACCUGGGGCAUAGCCCGGAGAAAUCCGGAUUAACUCCCCAUAAUAUAACAUGAUGGCAUCAUUGAGUUAUUAAAAAUUUAUUGGGUAAAGAUGGCUGUGCGUCCCAUUAGCUAGUUGGUAGGGUAACGGCCUACCAAGGCGACGAUGGGUAGCUGGUGUGAGAGCACGACCAGCCACACGGGCACUGAGACACGGGCCCGACUCCUACGGGAGGCAGCAGUGAGGAAUAUUGGUCAAUGGACGCAAGUCUGAACCAGCCAUGCCGCGUGAAGGAUGAAGGCCUUCUGGGUUGUAAACUUCUUUUACCUGGGAAGAAACCACCUUUUUCUAAGGGUGUUGACGGUACCAGAGGAAUAAGCACCGGCUAACUCCGUGCCAGCAGCCGCGGUAAUACGGAGGGUGCAAGCGUUAUCCGGAUUUACUGGGUUUAAAGGGUGUGUAGGCGGGCUUUUAAGUCAGUGGUGAAAUCUCCGGGCUCAACCCGGAAACUGCCAUUGAUACUAUUAGUCUUGAAUUUUGUUGAGGUAGGCGGAAUAAGUCAUGUAGCGGUGAAAUGCAUAGAUAUG